UCUCGGGCUCGGCGGGCAGGCGAGGCGUCGGGGCGGACGGGCAGGCGGUUGGGGACGGGCGGGGGCCGGGCUUCUCCCAGGAACUUGCUUGCGCGGGAGGCUUGGUCAGACGGGCGGCUCUUCCUCGAGGUCCGCGCGGCGCUCCGGCUGUCUGGGAGAAAGCGGUGAAACCGCCGGGUAAGCUCCGCCUGCGUCGGCUGGCCUUCUUCGCCGCCCCGGUGUGCGGGACUCCCACCUCCCAUCCCAUCCAGGCGGCCCGCGGACUUGGGAAUGAGGCACUUCCGAAGACCUGUUUGGGGAGAGGCUGGCGUGGCCCUCUGGCUGGGGAUGAUGGGAGUGGUGGUCCAGCACCUCGGUCUCUCCCAGGGCUGAGGACAAAUUCGGGAUAGAGAACAAGCGAGGAUUGCCGAGAGCUGGUUUCCCCGGUUGGCGGGGCUGGCCGGUGGCGUUGCUGUCACUAGAUGUCCACCGUGAAGUUUGGGGAUGCGUCGUUGCGGGUGGCGUUUCCAAAGGGACUCCUUAGUAGUUUUACCGCAAAGUACCAAACGUGUAUCGGGUUGCAGACGUGCCUAGAUUUCGGCUCCCCUGGCUGGGAGACAGAACAGGGGCUUCUGAUGUAAUUCCAAGCCAGGAGGGACUCUGGUCUGCAGCCCUGAAAACGCAUUGAACAGCCUUCCCCCGAACACCACCUCCAUCUCCCGAAUCCUCAACACGCACAGCCUUUGGGAUGGGAAUUGUUGUCUGGCAUAGGAUCUGCGGGGCAGGGGGCUGCCAGAUGGUGUUGAAAGCAGCACUGGGGGUGGCCUGACGUCUCUGACUCUGUGGGCUUUCCAGACAGUCGCCAGGAGUCAACACUGACUUGAACGCGCACACACACAUUCAUGGAUGCCUCAACUAGAUUGUUAUAGGGAAUGUGAGAUUUCCCCCCCCCCCUGACCUUAUGAGUAAUGCCCGGGCAUGGAAGAAUUGGUGAUUUCAGAAUCCUCUGGUGAAUUCUGCUUGCCGUGUUUAUCCUUACGAUGGUGGUCCGGUGUCCUUUGUAUACAGCUAGUGAGAGAUAUGUAUGAAGGUCUACAGAGUGUAAGUAACUAUUACAGAUGGGUUAGUAACAUUACUGCUGACAGAUGUGGAAUGAGGAGGGGGGAAAGUCAUGGUCUGUCUGAAGGUGUAUUUCUAAAAGGCCAAUAGGGCAAGCAGCAUAGCCUGGCAUGUUCAGAUCCAAGCUACUGUCUGCAUUGUGUUACCCAAAAAAUUGGUGUAAGUGUUCCUUUAAUCAACGAGAAUGGUUGGUAUAUGAAGGUAGAGGAUCAAUUGAUUUUAAUUCUGUUCAGUUACAGUUGAGUUAUUUCAUACGGCUGUACCUCACAACCACACACUUAUGGGAGAGACAGGAUUGCCUUCAUGUAGCUUUAGCAACCUAAAUUUAACAAGACUGGGGAGCUCAGUUGAGCAAGAUUUUUUUUUUCUUACAUACUCUUUGCUUUGUGGAAAGUUUUUAAUGCCAGGUGGUCUUUUUGGUAACCACAGUAGGCUUUUUAAUAGCUAUCACCUAUUCACUGAAAACAGCUGUUUACAUGGAAAGUGCUGGCAAUGCGUACCUCAGUUUCCUUUGUUGCACAAAUGGCUGUGUGAAGUUAGACUGACCUUGAGGGUACAUGAGAUUAAACUGAUUUUUCUUGUGGCCCAGAGGAACAGACUUUUCAGCAGUGCUAUAUUAACUGUAAAUUGGAGGAUUUAGGCUGUUCUGGUUCCAAAGCAGCGGGACAAAGACCAGACUAGGGAGCUGCAAUUAAGAGUUGGAAAGAAUUCCAGAAGCUUCCCAGCUUUUUUUUUAUUCCAGCUGUUGGGCAGAUUAAAAAUAAGAUAAUUACACAGACACCUCCCCAAUGGACCACGAACAUAUUCUUAGAAAAUAAACAAGCAGCUGUUAAGCCCAGUGCCUAAAUUCACAUAGUGCAUAAAAUAAUGUGAAUUAUGCCCUGUUGCGUGAACUGAUGUAAAUUAUGCUUUAUUGUGUGAAUCGAUGUAAUCCUUGCCUCAGUGCCAGAGAGAUGCACAGAAGGUGCACGAAUUGGAGGACUUUCUGGUCUCACAGCUUUUGCUCCUUGUUUUUGGUUGACACGGUAAAGUUUUUAUGAUAAUACUGUUUUGUUUUGUUUUGUUUUGUUUUGAUUUGAUGUACACUGCUUGGAGUUACGAUUACGUGAGUUGGGCAGCUACAUCCUUCUUCUUAAUUAGUGCUUCUCAACCUUGACAACUUUAAGAUGUGUGGACUUCAGCUCCCAGAAUUCCCCAUGCUGGCUGGGGAAUUCUGGGAGCUGAAAUCCACACAUCUUAAAGUUGUCAAGGUUGAAAAACACUGAUGUAAAGGCUCUGGCAUUCUGAAACAUUGUAAAAUUAAAACCUGGUAGGAAGGAAGUGUGGGCUUGUUCGGUGUGUCUGAUACCUUGCCAGUACUUUUUAUUUGCUACAGGUGACCAUAUGAAUAGCUCUGAACCAGGCCUGUCCCCAGCCUAUUAUGAGCUUACCGCUUCCUGGCCUGCAGAGUUCGAGGCAUGAAUUAUAACCUGAACACAAACGUCGAAAUCUGUUAAGUGGGUUGCUACCUCAAAUCCCUCUUAACCCAAGCUGGCCGGUGCUCCUCAUGAGCCGGCUGAGGGCUGGGGGGCAAAAAGAUGGGGAAACCUACGGCUGGGGUUACCUUUUGCAACUGUGACUUCAGUAUACACGAACCCCAACAUGGCAGCGACUGCAGCGUGGGGCCACCGUCUCCGUUUCGGCUGCCCUGCCCUUGGUCUGUCCUCUUCCUGUCCUGCCCGGUGUUCUUUGACCUCAAUCUGCAGCUGCUGGAAACUCAUGCCUUUGCUUCUCCCUCAGCAGUUCAGGAGCUGCCUCAGAAAGUUCUGCUUUCUACCCUAAGUGUCCCUCACCUCAGCCCUCUCAAUAUUCUCAAGGCAAGCUUUUCAAUGUGACGUUUGCAUUCCUCCGCCUGGAGACGUCCAGGCACCGUCCACAUUUCACGCGCAUGGCUCCUCGUCUCUUUUGCAGCGCCCAGCCCUGUCUGUUCACUGCCUCUGCCUUGCAUCUCAGGCAUCUUCCAUCGUGUGCCCUCUUCCUGGCCAAAUCAGUCCUCUUUUGCGAUGCCCCAGUUGUCCGUCCCGUUUGGAGGCGCUCGGAGGGGGAUUCCCAAUAAAGCGUGUCCCUUGAGUAUCCCUGCACCGGGUCAGCAGAUCCAUCACUCAUGCUGCAUGCAAAGAGUUUGCUAUCCCUAGACGCAAAAUGUGGACAGUUGGAAUGGGGUAAGUGAUGUUGUUAGUGCUGAAUAGUUUAGACCGUGUUGACCGCUAAUAAGAUGAGAAGACGACGAGUCCCCUCAAGAAAUUUACAGCCAUCAUCAACUGCAGGGACUGACAGCUGAAGUAAGUCCAGUUGAUCUCAGUGGGGCUUCGUUGCUUGUAAGCAUGGCUUGGAUUGCAGCCUGAGCUUUAUGUCCAAGACAGAUUUCCUCGUUCUCUGUUUUCCCUUCUCAGAUGGGACACCUCCUUCGUACAUUCCUGGGAUUCAGCUAUGCCGCAUCUUGAAAUGUGGUGGUUUGGGAACCUGCCUGACUUAAACGUGUCUUCCAGAAAGGGGUCGUCCUCCAGGUGGCAUUAUAAUCCCAAGAUUCCUUGGCAUGAGGAAUAAGAAUGCUGUUAAGAAAAGUAUUUCAGUAGGUCUUUUUAAGAUGCAAAACCUUGCACUCUUGAUUAUUACGCAGGACUUUUUGUGUGUGUUUAAAAGAAAAAACUGCAGCCAGAAAAUGUUUUCUGGUUGGUUGGUUUUAAAUUGCAUCCUGGUAUGUUCAGCUUUUGAAUCUUGAGUGAAGAGAAUUUCCAAAUGAAGGAAAAGCCACAGAAAUGUUUAUCCUCUGAGCUGUGGACUUUUUGCUUAUAAAAUGAACUCGAUUAUUGGAGGUUGAAAGGGGACGUGAAGGAUGAAAUCACACUUCUGCUAUGCUGGUAUGCAACAACCUCCCCAACAAGUUCCUGGAAGUUUGGACUACAAUGAUCAUGGUCCCCAGCUCGAUGAUCAACCUGGGUAGGGUAUGAUAGGAACAGUAGUCCAACACGUUUAAAUGGUAUGAUGUUGCAAAUGGUUGAUUUUGUUCAUUCAGCUGAACAAGAUGUAAGUUUCAGUGGGGUCCCUGUAUGGACUCGGGGGAGAGUCCAAAUGCCUGAGUACAAGAAAGACAGCAGAUACAGUCCUUGCAAGCUAAACAGUUCUUUGUACAUGAGCAACACAAAUAAAUUUUUUAAAAUUCUG